rnacentral:rRNA from 1 species
UACGUAGGUGACAAGCGUUGUCCGGAUUUACUGGGCGUAAAGAGCGCGCAGGCGGUCGAUCAAGUCGAGUGUGAAAGCCCCCGGCUUAACCGGGGAGGGUCGUUGGGGACGGCGGGGCUUGAGGGCGGGAGAGGUCGGUGGAAUUCCCGGUGUAGUGGUGAAAUGCGCAGAUAUCGGGAGGAACACCAGUAGCGAAGGCGGCUCGCUGGGCCACACCUGACGCUGAGACGCGAAAGCUAGGGGGAGCGAAACAGG